CGAUUAAAAAAAAAGAUUUUUGUCUCUUAGUUCUCCUUUUUGCUCUUUUAAUUGCGAUUUUAUAGGUUGAAUAGGGCAGUUCAUCCGCCAACGUCCAGGGUGACCUUUUCAAUGUGAUUUCUGAUUGUGGAUUCUUUGUUUAUAAAGAUUGUGAUAUGCUUUUUUGGGAAGAUCGUCCACCUCUAAUAGAGAUACAGCAGACUCGACCUCAUUUGACUAAUUAAUUUUAGCUACUUUACAUGGACACACUAAUGUUAACCUAGAUGAAUGUGCACUAUUAUUAGAUAUUUGCCCAUGUGUUUGUGCUAAAUUAGUACCAUACUUAUACAAACAUUAUUACUAUUAGCUAUUAAUGUGUACUUAUUGUUUAUUUAUAUUUAGGUAUUUACUGUCAAAGGGUUUGCCCUUGUCAACUAUCCUGACAGUGAUGAGGCUGAUGAGGAUUGUGUUGUUCCAAAGGAGACAAGGAAUGAAAGCAUUCAGAUGGAUAGAGUAGAAGAUCUUUCUGUUUCUCUUUAUUCAUCAAGUGAUGAAAGCACAGAUGAGCCUUCCAAUAAAAUGUUUUCAGAAAGGCCGAGUAGAAGCUGUCGCCAUCCUAUUCAGAGGAGCCUUGUAGAAUCCGAUAACUCGUGUGGUGAUAGCGAAGAUGAGUAUAUUCCAAAUUCCAGGGAGGAAAGCACAGGGGAAAGCUAUGACAGUGACUGCAGCUUGGAGUUAUCUUUGGAAAAUAAAACCAAGUCAUCUGUUCGUCAGAGCAGAAGUGAGUCUUCAAGUCAGAGUCGAUUUGAUUCCAGUCAGAGCAGAAGUUUUGAAGCAAGUCUCGACUCAGUGGAAAGAUUUUCUGAGAGCAGAGAAGAUAGAAGCAGAGAGAAAACAGUGCGAACAUAUAGUAACAAGGACACAAGUGUGUCAGUGCCACUUGAAGAAGAGGCAUCUGUGUAUGUUAAUCCAGUUUACAAAAAGGAGGAUGGUUCAAGACGAUAUAACAAGAAGCAUCACUGCUUGUAUUGUGGAGAAGUAGUUCAGAAAAUGUCAAGACACUUGUCGCGUAAACACAGCGAUAUGGUUGAGGGUGCAAAGGCAUUAAGUUUGCCAAAGAACUCAAAAGAAAGGCGACGGCAGUUGAAUUAUAUUCGAAACAAGGGGAACUUUGACCAUAACACUGAAGUUUUGGAGAGCCGCAAAGGCAAACUCAUCCCAUGGAAGCAACCAAAAAAAAAACUGAAGGACAGGAAUUUAUGCACUGUGUUUACUGCUACGGAUUGUUCAGAAAAAGAGUGAUGUGGCGACAUUUUCAGGUCUGCAAUUUCAAGCCUCAGGGCAACCCAUCUAAACGAGGUAAAACAAGAGUUCAGGCAUUGUGUGCUUUUGCUGAACCUGCUCCAACUGGAUUUAGUGAUGCAUACUGGAAGUUCUUAAGUGACAUGAAUCAAGACGAGGUUGCAGUUGCAAUUAAGGAAGGCCGCUGCAUUCUUGAGUAUGAUUUCAGACUGUUCAACAAGAAUGACAAGGUUAUCAGCCAACACCAAUAUAUUCGACAAAAACUGAGAGAGCUUGGCAGACUGGUACUGGAAGCAAAAAAGUUGACUUAUGUGAAGACGAUCAAAAAACUCAUAAAACCUGAAAAGUACACUUAUGUUGUCAGAGCUGCAAGAUGCCUAGCUGGAUUCAGUAAUGAAACUGGCAAAUACCAACGUCCAUCUCUUGCUCGCAAAGUUGGACAUGGGUUGCAUGCUUUAGCCGUGUUUAUCAAGUCUGAAGGAUUGAAGAUGAAAGAUCAUCAGACUGCCAAAGAUGCUGAGGAAUUUGCCUUGCUGUACCAAGAAAGUUGGAAAUUUGACAUUGCUAGCCAAGCGCUAACUCAGAUUAACCAGAGCAAGUGGAAUUCUCCUCAGAUUCUACUGUUCACACAGGAUGUCCAAAAACUUCAUUGCUAUUUGUCAGAGAAACAGCAGAAACAACUUGAUGCACCUUCUCCCUUAAACUGGAAAGAGCUUGCAAAGGUGACCUUGGCACAAGUGAUCCUUUUCAAUCGGCGUAGAGCAGGUGAGGUGUCCCGAAUGCCCUUGUCUGUGUAAUUAUCCAAGGACACAACAGAAACCCAUGAAGAUAUCAAUCUGGCCCUUACAGCCCUUGAGCAGAAGCUUUGCAGACAUUUUGUCCGAAUUGCCAUCGUUGGAAAAAGAGGACGGAAAGUUCCUGUACUACCGACUCCACUCAUGAGGGAAUCGAUCGAUACUUUGACUGAGAAGCGAGAACAAUGUGGAGUGCUGGAUGAAAAUGGAUAUUUGUUUGCAUUGCCACACUCUGUCCAUUAAUUGAGGGGUUCUGACUGCAUUAGGCAGUUUGUUAGUGAAUGUGAGGACAUCAAACAUCCAAAAGCGCUAACCUCAACGAAACUAAGAAAGCACAUUGCUACGCUGUCAACUGUUCUAAAUCUCAAGACUACAGAACUUGACCAGUUGGCCGAUUUCCUUUGGCAUAACAUUGAAGUGCACAGAAAGCACUAUCGCCUCCCAGAGGGUACUCUCCAGCUAGCUAAAAUAAGCAAAGUUCUUCUAGCACUGGAACAGGGACGGCUAGGUGAAUACAGAGGGAAGGAUCUGGAUCAAAUUCAGCUGGAUGUGAAUGAGACUGUUGACAUAGAUGUGGAUGGUUGUUCACAAGAGGAAG